rnacentral:rRNA from 1 species
UAGGGAAUCUUCCGCAAUGGGCGAAAGCCUGACGGAGCAACGCCGCGUGAGUGAUGAAGGUCUUAGGAUCGUAAAACUCUGUUAUUAGGGAAGAACAAACGUGUAAGUAACUGUGCACGUCUUGACGGUACCUAAUCAGAAAGCCACGGCUAACUACGUGCCAGCAGCCGCGGUAAUACGUAGGUGGCAAGCGUUAUCCGGAAUUAUUGGGCGUAAAGCGCGCGUAGGCGGUGUUUUAAGUCUGAUGUGAAAGCCCACGGCUCAACCGUGGAGGGUCAUUGGAAACUGGAAAACUUGAGUGCAGAAGAGGAAAGUGGAAUUCCAUGUGUAACGGUGAAAUGCGCAGAGAUAUGGAGGAACACCAGUGGCGAAGGCGAC